AUUGAACGCUGGCGGCAGGCCUAACACAUGCAAGUCGAGCGGGGUUUUCGGACCUAGCGGCGGACGGGUGAGUAAUGCGUAGGAAGCUACCCGAUAGAGGGGGAUACCAGUUGGAAACGACUGUUAAUACCGCAUAAUGUCUACGGACCAAAGUGUGGGACCUUCGGGCCACAUGCUAUCGGAUGCGCCUACGUGGGAUUAGCUAGUUGGUGAGGUAAUGGCUCACCAAGGCGACGGUCCCUAGCUGGUUUGAGAGGAUGAUCAGCCACACUGGAACUGAGACACGGUCCAGACUCCUACGGGAGGCAGCAGUGGGGAAUAUUGGACAAUGGGCGCAAGCCUGAUCCAGCCAUGCCGCGUGUGUGAAGAAGGCCUUCGGGUUGUAAAGCACUUUCAGCGAGGAGGAAGGGGUGAGUGUUAAUAGUACUCAUCUUUGGCGUUACUCGCAGAAUAAGCACCGGCUAACUCUGUGCCAGCCGCCGCCGUAAGAC
rnacentral:rRNA from 1 species